GAGUUAGUAAAAAUUCAAUAGAUACACAAAAAGAUGAAAUAUCAAAAUUAGAAUCACAAAUAGAUAGUUUAGAAUAUGUAUAUCAACAUGACCUAUUCACAAUAAAAUGAAUAAAGAAGAAUUUAUAAUAGAUGAAAAAAUAUAUGAAAACUACGAAGGAUCAAAAAUAAAAAUAGUAUUUUCUAAUCUAGGACGAAGAUAUAAGAAAAUAGGUGAACAUUUAUAUCUAAUGUUAGAAAAAGAAGAAUUAAAAUUAGAAGAUAAAUUAACAGCAAUGGUAAGAAUAGAAAAAGAAAAUGAAGAGAUAGAUAGGAAAAAAGAAAUAGAAAAAAUAAAACAACAAACUACGGAAGAAAUACGAAAAAUAGAAGAAACCAAAAAUAGUAGAAUUGCUGAAUUAGAAAAAGAAUUACAAAUGUUAAAAGAACUGUAUGAACAAAGACAAAAAGAAAAAGAAGAAAAAGAUAGAGAACAGAAAUUACUAAAUGAGAUAAAUCAAUUUAAGGAAAAAUUAGAAAUAAAAAAUGAAGAAUUAGAAAUAAAUAAUAUAGAUAUUGAAGAGACAGAUAAUUAUGAGUCCGAAGAUAGUGAAACAUACACAGAAAUAUUAACAAAUACAAAAAAUUUAGAAAUCAAUGAAGAACAAAAAAUUUAUGAGGAAAACUUAGAAAAUACCCACACAGAAAUAAAUACUCUUGAUAAAAAAGAAAAUGAAAAUAUAAUACCUAAAACAACAGAAAUAAGAAAACCUAUAUAUUAUAAGAAUAAGUUUAAAAAAUAUAAUGAAUAUGAUAAAUGGAUACCAAAACAAAUAGUGAAUAAAAAUUAUAACUUUUUAGAUCUAGACUGUGUAAUAGAUACAGAAAAAACAAUACAAUUAUGGAUAGGAUAUAUGACAAAACAAUUAUUAGAUAAUAAUAUAAAUAUAACAGAUGCACCGGAAUAUAUAGAAAAAACACUAAUAGGAUCAGUAAAACUAUGGUUUGCAAAUCUAACCGAAAAUAGCAAAAAAGUAUUAAGAACUAAUAAACCUAUAGAAGGAACAUCAUCGACAACAACUAAACUAACACCUAUAGAAUUAUUAAAAAAAUAUGAAACAGCUAUAAAAGAUGAAUUUGGUAGUACGACAACAAUCGAAGAAGAACAAAAUGAAGAAAAAGAUACAAAUAGAAAUUUAAUGUUAAAAUUAGCAAUAUGUAAUAUGUGUUAUAUAGAUGAAUAUACUUGCGCAUUUAAAGAAUAUUAUUACAAAGGAGCAUAUAGUAUAGAAGAAAGUAAAGAAAUAAGAAAAUUAUAUUUUAAUAAAUUACCCGAGCCAUUUAGUUCGAAAAUAAUAAAAAGUUGGGAAGAAGCAAAAAUAGUAGAUACGUUAGGAGCAAGAAUAAAAUAUUUACAACAAUGGUAUAGAAACUUAUGUGAAAAAUAUAGAGAAGAAUUAAAAAUGGAAAAAACAUUAAUAAGAAAUUUAGCUUGUUGCAAAAAUAAAAUAGCACCCCAAUUUGGAUGCGAAGAAAGAUAUUAUAAGAAAAGAAAAAGACAUAAGAAAUAUAAGAAAUAUAAAAAAUCAAAAUAUAAAUAUAAAAAACCAAGAAAAAGAUACUAUGUAAAAAAUUAUAAACAUAAAAGACCAUAUAGAAAAAAGAAAUCUAUAAAAGAAUGUACUUGUUAUAAUUGUGGAAAGUUAGGACAUUUAGCUAGAGAUUGUAAAUUACCUAAAAAUCCAAAAAAUAAACAAAUAUCAGAAAUAAAAAUAGAAAAUACCGAAUACAUGCAGAUAGAUUAUAUAGAUUAUGAAUUAGAAAGUGAAGAUAGUAUAUAUGAAAUUUCAGAAAAUGAAACAGAUAAUGAACUAGAUAGCGAAAUAGAUGAAUCAAAUGACUGAAGAAGAUAUAAAAAUAAUAACAAAGGAAGAAUAUUUAAAUGAUGAAGGAACGGAACAAAAAAUAAUAUUUGACAGUAAUAUAUUUGAUGAAAUAAAAGGAAAAGAAUUAGAUUUAAGUGUAGACAAAAUAUUUAAAAUACCAACAAUAAAAAAUAUUUUUACUAGGAAAAAAGAUGAAUAUUAUGUAGUAUGCCAAAAAGAACAUGUAAUAGAUUGCAGAUAUGCAAAAGGAAAAGCUAGUAUACCACUAGUAACAAAAAGAAUAAUUAAUAAAGAAAUAAAUGAUAUAAAAAGUAAAGGAGAUCCAAUAAAAUAUGUACACCUUGGAGGUACAGAGAUAUUAAUAAAAGCAUGUUUUAGAGAAGGAAUAGAUACACCAAUAGAAUUAUAUUUAGCAGACGAUAGAAUUAUAAAACCUAUAGAAAAAAGCAUAAUAACUGCCGUAAAAGGAAAUCUAAUAUACCAAAAAUUUAAAUUUAUAAUAAGUGCAAAUUAUUCAGUAGCAGUAACAGAUAGGAAUAUAGAUAAAUCAUUAGUAUUAUAUUGGAAAAUAUCAGGAAUAGAGUUAACCCCAGGAAGUAAAAUAUUUACAGCAAGAUGUAAAAACCUAUAUGUAUUAACAACAAAACAUAAAAUAACAGGAAAAAAUAAGAUUAACAAAAUACAAAUAGAAAGCCCAUUCGAACAAAUAGUAAAAACAAUAGAUUAUAAUGAUUAUACCUAUAGAGACAUAGAUACAGAAGAAAAUUUAGAAAUAGUAAAUGAUAGAAUAAGUACAACGAAAAGAAUAGCUAAUGAAAAGCCAGAGUCAUCAAGCUCAUCAAAAAGAACAAGUUAUGAAACAAACUCAAUAAGUAAUUUAAACCAAUAUUACAUAACAGGAAAAAUAAAUGAAAAAGAAUAUCUAAUACUUUUGAAUACAGGACAAGAAGAAAAUUAUAUAGCAAAAUAUCUAGUAAAAAAUGAAGAAAUAAAAACCGAUAAUAAUAUAUGCCCAGAUUUACCAAGAAGUUUAAUAAAUAAUAAAAAUCUAGCAGAAAAAGAAAUAAUAUUAGGAGUUAGAAAAAUAAAAAUAGAAUUCGAAGUAAAGGAAGAAAUGCAAAAAGCAGAUAUAAUAUUAGGAAUAAAAUGGUUGGAACAAGUAAAACCAUAUAAUAUAGAACAUACACAAUUAACCUUAACAUAUAACCAAGAAAAGUUAUUCUUAAAAAGAGCCUUAACAUGAAAUGAAGAUACAUGUAUUAAUGAAGAUAGUAGUAGAAGGAUAUUACAGUAGAUAUUAUACGCCUAUGAUAGAUACAGGAGCAGAAGCUAAUUUAUGUAGAUAUAAUUGCUUACCAGAAAGCAAAUGGGAUAAACUAAAAACACCAAUAAUAGUUAAAGGAUUUAAUAAUGAAGGAAGCUUAAUUACUUAUAAAGCUAGGAAUGUAAAAAUACAAGUAUGGGAUAAGAUAUUAACAAUAGAAGAAAUUUAUAACUAUGAAUUAACAUCAAAAGAUAUACUUUUAGGAAUGCCAUUUUUAGAUAAAUUAUACCCACAUAUAAUAACUAAAACAGACUGGUGGUUUACAACACCAUGCAAACAAAAAGUAAGAGCAAAAAGAGUUAAUAAUAAAAUAAGAAAGAAAACUGAUUGGAUAAAAGGAAGUGAAAAAAUUACACAAAAGUUAGAAAAUAUAAACAAUACUGAAGAUACAGUAGAACUAGUAGUAUUUUCGAUAAAUAAAACAGAAAUAACUAUAUUUUCAAUAAAUAAAAUAGAAAUAAUUCAGAAAAAAUUAGAACAAUUAUAUAGUGAAGAUCCAUUAAAAGGAUGGGAAAAACACAAAACUACUAUAAAAAUUGAAUUAAUAGAUAAGAAUAGCAUAAUAACACAAAAACCAUUAACAUAUAAUUUUGAUGAUUUAAAAGAAUUUAAAAUGCACAUAGAUGAAUUAUUAGAAAAACAAUAUAUACAAAAAAGUAAUAGUAAACAUAAUAGUCCAGCAUUUAUAGUAAAUAAACAUAGUGAACAAAAAAGAGGAAAAAGUAGGAUGGUUAUUGAUUAUAGAAAUUUAAAUGCAAAAACUAUAACAUAUAAUUAUCCGAUACCAAAUAAGAUAUUAAAAAUAAGACAAAUCCAAGGAUAUAAUUAUUUUAGCAAAUUUGAUUGUAAAUCAGGAUUUUACCACCUAAAGCUAGAAGAAGAAUCUAAAGAAUUAACCGCAUUUACGGUACCACAAGGAUUUUAUGAAUGGAAUGUGUUACCAUUUGGAUAUAAAAAUGCACCAGGUAGAUAUCAACAUUUUAUGGAUAAUUAUUUUAAACAAUUAUCUAAUUGCAUAGUAUAUAUAGAUGAUAUAUUAUUAUAUACAAAAACUAAAGAAGAACAUUUAAAAUUAUUAGAACAAUUCACAGAUAUAAUAGAAAAAUCAGGCAUAAGUCUAACAAAAAACAAAACUGAAAAAACUAGCCUACUUAAUUACAUUAAUAUCUAGUAUUGAAUCAAAAUUAAUAACACAUUUAAAAUCUAGAAGAAUGAAACAUAUACCACUUAAUUAUGAUAAAAUUAGAUUUAGAUAUCCACCGAGAUAUUAUAAAUAUAAUUUAAAAUGAAUAAAAUACAACGAUAUAAAGAAUUAAAACAAAUUAUCUCUGAAAAACGUAAAGAAUUAAAAAUAAGAAUAGAAAGACUACAUUAUAAUAUAUUUGCCGGAGUUAGUAAAAAUUCAAUAAAUACACAAAAAGAUGAAAUAUCAAAAUUAGAAUCACAAAUAGAUAGUUUAGAAUAUAUAUAUCAACAUGACCUAUUCACAAUAAAAUGAAUAAAGAAGAAUUUAUAAUAGAUGAAAAAAUAUAUGAAAAUUACGAAGGAUCAAAAAUAAAAAUAGUAUUUUCUAAUCUAGGACGAAGAUAUAAGAAAAUAGGUGAACAUUUAUACUUAAUGUUAGAAAA
rnacentral:lncRNA from 1 species